rnacentral:rRNA from 1 species
AUUGAACGCUAGCGGCAUGCUUUACACAUGCAAGUCGAACGAGUGGCGGACGUGUGUGUAAUGUAUGGGAACGUGCCCAGUAGCGGGGGAUAACUACUCGAAAGAGUGGCUAAUACCGCAUACUAUUGGAGCGGCCCAUAGGGGAUUAGCUAGUUGGUGGGGUAAAGGCUCCCCAAGGCCACGAUCCGUAGCUGGUUUGAGAGGACGACCAGCUGCACUGGAACUGAGACACGGCCCAGACGCCUACGGGACGCAGCAGUGGGAAAUUGUGGACAAUGGGCGAAAGCCUGAUCCAGCCAUGCCGCGUGUAUGAGAAGGCUUUCGGGGUGUAAAGUACUUUUGGCGGAGAAGCGUGACCCGCAGAAUAAGCACCGGCUAACUACGUGCCAGCCGCCGCGGUAAUUC